GCAGUCCACGUGUCUGGCUGAUUUUGUUCUCUGGUGGUUGCCCGUAGAACAUUUCAAAGGUUCACAUGUCUAAACAGACUGAUUUCGACUCCCCCUCCCCACUCCCGCCACACAGCCCGCCCCCUCACUUGUGGUAUGAAUAUCUGGUGAGUUGCUGUAAACAGAAAUGCAGAAGCAGUUUUAGCUCAUUCCUUUUCAAAGCCUCUGCAUAGCCAGUCUUUUAUCACAGAUAUUCCAAUCUGGGCUCUGUCUCCACUGCCACUAUCCUGGUCCAGGCCACCAUCAUCUUUGGCCUGAACUACUGCAGCUGUUCUCUUUGCUUUCUGUCAUGUCACUUACAGUCCAUUCCUGUGCAUCAGAAACUGAGGUCCUGAGCCUUAACACAGAUGAUGUCCAACCCAGAUUUAAAACUCUUCAGUGCCUUCUCAUUACCCUUUAAACAAAAUCUCUCUUCCUCACCCAAGUCUGUAAGACCCUGAGUGAUCUGACCCCUGCCCUGCCUAUCCACUCUUGUUGUAUGUCAUUUUUCUUCAGUUUAGCUCAGUAUCCCUCAUGUCUUUAAACAGUCCUCUUGUCUCAUGAUGUUGUGCAUUCUGUUCCCUCUGCCUUGGUUAAAAGGCUUUUUUGUUUUCUUUUUUUAAGGGCUGCAGGUGUGGGAUAUGGAAGUUCCUAGGCUAGGGGUCGAAUUGGAGCUUUAGCUGCUGGCCUAUACCACAGCUGCAGCAAUGCCAGAUCCAAGCCACAUCUGUGAUCUAUACCACAGCUCAUGGGGACGCUGGAUCCUUAACCCACUAAGCAAGGCCAGGGAUCGAACCUGCAUCCUCAUGGGUGCUAGUUAGGUUCAUUUCCACUGACCCACAUGGAAACUUCAUUCCUUUUUAUUUUCAUUUUUUGUCUUUUUGACUUUUCUAGGGCUGUUCCUGCGGCAUAUGGAGGUUCCCAGACUAGGGGUCUAAUCGGAGCUGUAGCCACCAGCCUACGGCAGAGACACAACAACUCGGGAUCUGAGCCGCGUCUGUGACCUGCACCACAGCUCAUGGCAAUGCCGGAUCCUUAACCCACUGAGCAAGGCCAGGGAUUGAACCCGAAACCUCAUAGUUCCUAGUCGGAUUCAUUAAUCACUGAGCCACGAUGGGAACUCCUCCAUUCCUUUUUAAACAACCACUAAUUCAAGCUCCCAAUCCUUCAGAAUUGUGUCACUUUCUCUGAAAUGUUCCCCACACCCCCUUCUGCACAUAUAUACCCCUGUCCCCAUGAUUCUCCAUUUCAGGUCCUUGUUUUAUUGCUAUAGCAAUUUGUAGCUUGUUUUGUCUCUUCCCGACUAGAGGCAGAGGCUCUGUUUUUAUUUUCAUAUCAUCUGUGCCUUAGUACAGCACUUGGUCCAUUUUCCCUGCAGAAUACGUCUCCGAAAGGGUAAAUGAAUACACAUGGUUACUGUGUGGUAAGAUCAUCCUCUGAAACAGAGCCAUGUUUAUUAUUUGUGGACUUAAAUUUAUUCUUGGAUCUACUCCAGAUAUGUAAGGCAGCUUGCAAUACAUAAAAUAUGAAAAUAUAGCAUAAAUUAAAAAGACGAAAAGCCUGGAAACUUCAGAAAUGGGGCCAGUAUUUAGGGUAAGCAUGUAUAUACCAUAAAGACACAGACUUGCUAGGGCUGGGCCAUUUGGCUCUUUGCUCUCGAGCAGCCAGUGAGACCAGAUGGGUUAUACAAGUCUGUAGGAUAAAAAGUGAAUAAUGCUCAGAAGAACUACAACUGUUCCUUAUGUUCAGACCAAAGAGAAGUUUCACCCAGGGUAGGUAUAAAAAGAAUUCAUAAUAUGAUGAAAAUCACCCUGGGAGUGAUGUGGUAAGUUUCAUAGGAACAAUUCUUACAGUGACUUUCAAAUAUAGGCUGCUGCUGUCCUGCCAAGUACAGCUUGGUUAAGGCCCUUUAAUGGGGCCCCAAUGAUGCUGUGCUUGGUUGCAGGUACUGGAUGAAGACUGCUCCAUGUGCUCUGUGAUCAUUGAUGUUGCUGUUUGGGUUUAUGGCACUUGCUUGUGUCAGGAGAUGACCUACAAGGGGGUGGUUGGGAGGAGGGAUAUAUUUCUGGGCUUUUAUUUGUAACUUUGCCCUAACCAAGUACUGAUGUUACCAUUCCAGUUUCUUUCACACUCACUCCUGUUAAACAUCUUUAGAUGCUCUGCUUUUCUUCCAGACUUCUCUGCCUUUUCUUCUAUCCCAUCCCUAGGUCUCUUCCUCUUGCAGCAUCUUGUAGCUUAUAUGGUGCUUGUCUCCUAGGUAGUAUUUUGAGGAUGUUUGAAUCCUCUUUGUCUUCAUAUUUGAUAACUGUCUUUUUACUCAGUUAUCAAAUGGGCCAGCUUUCUUGUCUGUGUCUUGAACGCUGGGGCUUACCCUUAAGAAUUUAGAUGGUUCAGUCACUGGGAUUCUAAGGAGAAUGGAGAAUAAAAGACUGAGAAAGCUGUUUUCCUUAGCUUUGUAGAAAGGUACAGUCUUUGAAUGUGGGAGCUGUCCACUUCGAGUGAGGCUGCGCAGAGCAAAACUGUGCUACGAGGAAGAGAAAUCUUCAUGAGUUUCAUAGCUUUAUGUGUAUAAGUGACAGGUGAUGUUGCUGUAGGUGUUAGCUAAUGUUGCUUAGCUUUCUCCAUAAAGUCGUUGAACACACCAAUCAUUAUAGAUUGUAAGCAGAAUUAACAGAUUUUAUUUAGCACCAUGGGUAGGAUACAGUACAAUGCAGGAUCAGCUUUAAUACCACAAAUUGCAGACAGUGCAGCAGAUGAGAGAAUGUUGUUUCCAUCCCAGGUGGUCACAGAUGGGGAGGAAGCCUUCCUCCCCGGGAGCUAGAGCUGCGGGUGGCAAAGCUGUUGUUGGGAUGCUUGGUUUGGGCAGCUGACUUACCUGGCUUUGGGGUCUUUCCUUCAAUGUUCUUCAUGACCUAAGUUACAAUUUAUCUUAACUUUGGGGGCUUUAUUAACCCUCCUUAAUGAGAAGCCACUGGCAAUAAAGAUGUGUUUAAGAAAGUACAAAGAAUAGUCUUAAAGAUAGAAAAGGAAAGACCUUUGGAGCAAAACUUGGAUAUGAUUACAUGCUGGAUUUGCUCAGGGAUGUUUAGGUUUUACAGCUACAAGCCCUUGUUAUUGAUUAAAUUCCUACAGAAAAUAACUUUCAUUAUCAGUCUGAAACUUGAGAUCCUAAACCACUUUUCCCCAUGGGAGCAGUUAUUUUUAUAAUUGUUGAUAUACAUGUGUUCUCAGAAAUGCAAAUAUUAUGUAAUAGCAAAAGGGAGUGUAUUUGGUUUUUCUGGACAGCGCCACAUACACAGCUAGAAGCAUAAAUUUUGGUUGUGUUCAGAAACAUUCUUAUUGACUUUGCUUUUCAUAAUUGUAAAUAGUAUGCAUUGGGCACUGAUUGUGUCCCAGGCAUUGUGUGAAGCAACAUGAUUUUCUUUAACCCUCUGGCAAUAUUCAGAGUAACUAUGGCUGACCGUUGGACAAUGCAGGGGUUAGGGCCACUGACCCUCCCAAGAUGAAAAUCCAGUGUCACUUGUAGUUGAGCCCUUCUGUACCACUGGCCGUAUUUACUACUAAAAAAAAAAAA
ensembl:lncRNA